AUCGCAGACAAUAAUAGGCAUUUCUAUCACAGGGCCGGCCAUGUGCAGUCUGCAAAAUGCUGGUAUCCAUGUUUUUCAGAUCCUCAAUUAGCAGACCGCAAAAGACUUAUCGAUGUCUGAAUGGACCCUUCAGCGGGUGAGGCAAAGCAGUCCUUUUUUAUUUAAAACUUUCCUCCACUUCAUAUACAAAAAUCAUAAUUUGUCAUACAAGUUAUUUAAGGGGCAUGCUACGGUUUUCUAUGGAGCUGUAUGGGAUCUGUGUAUGCCCCUGACUGUGUACAUAUUUAUAUUUUACGUAUAUAUUUGGUACCAUGCCGAUGGUUCUAACCAUUUCAUGCCAUGACUUGAUGGAGCCUUCAUAGCACAGCCAGUAAACCUAUCAUAAGGGUGAACUAUCAGAAGGAGAAUAUAGAAGCUUGAUUCAAAUAGGAUCAUAAACGGAAAUAGAUCAGUGGCUCAAGUACUGUAACCAAGCACCUCUUAGCAGCUCUAAGGAGUACAGGCUAUUUUAUACCAGUGACAAUUGGAUGUCUUUUUUUUAAUAAUGUCUCUAUAUACGUUGUGCUUUGUUUGGCACAGGAGCAUAACAGUUACAGAAUAUUAAGGGUGUAUAAGACUGUGCUGUUAUUCUGCAACACAUUUGAAAAUUCAUCAAAAUAAUUAGACUCCUUACCCACAGAAAAAGAAAGCAGAGCAUUAGCACCACCUAUCGGAUAACUACAACAGUUUACAAAAAGGUUGUCUUGCCUUCUUUUGUUUGCUACUUUAAACUAAUGGAAAGAGUGUAUACUAUUCAUCAUACGUAUUCUGUUGGCCUUGGCAAGCAUGAAUGUUGGCCAUAUUUAUCUAUUCUUGAAUGCCUUGCUAUCACUAGAUUGGACGCUGCAUUGCUCUGCCUAUCAUUAUGUAUAAGUAUGUUUUAUGUUCUUAUGCUACGUUACAUACUGUGGAAUAAAUACAUCACCAUGUAGCUAUAGCAAAAUCAGGGAGUCGGGAGGAAACUGACACACAAAUCACAUGGACAUACUGUAGAUCCAGUUAGUGUUACCAUACACAGUACCGGAAACUUUGUGCUAGGCAAUAUAUGAAAGUCGGAGGCAGAAAUAUACCACAUUGAUAGAGUAUAUGAAGUAUCUGAAACAACAUCUACUUCAAUGUCUGCCUUAAAGUUAUUUGAAAUGGAAGUUACAAUUUAACCUGAGGUAUGCCAUUCAGGGUUGCCAACCAUCCAGAAAUUUCUGGACAGUCUGUAAAAAUAGGUGACUUUUUUCCUGUGUCUGUAAAAAAAAAAUAGAUGUGUCCGUGAUUAUUUUUUUGGGCUGCAGGUACUUGACUAGAUUAUUUUGGUGGUAAUUAUCAUCAUUUUACAGCUCACAGUAAAUCCUGGUAAUGAGUACUUAUCAGUAUAAUGAGCUAUAGACAUGCAUUACUUAUAAUCUUUAUCAUUCAUUAUGGUUUUCCAAUUUGUCCAUAAAAUAUGUUGGUUGUCUGUGAUUUUAGGUUAAAUUGUCCAGAAAAAAAAGAAAAAUCCUGAUUGGCAACCCUGAUGCCGUUACUUUAACUUAUUCCCUUUAAACUGUGCUACAUAUUGUCUGAUCACAUCGAUAUGCGAUUUCUGGUUCAGGUUCAUAACUCUGCAUGUUUCUAAUUGAGAUUAUAGCUUUUUAUGAGAAUUAGGUAACAUUGCAUUAAAUUUGUCUUACAUACUAAGAACACAAACUGCACAUUGCAUUUUCGGAGAACAGCUGUACAUUUAACGUAGUCAGUCAGUAAAAAAAAUACACAAGGAUUUAUUAAAGACUGAAUGUUUUAUGUUAUGCACAUCAAGAACACAUAAGGCGCCUUAACAACUGUAAAGGGUGUUUUUUGAAUUUCCCUGUAAAAUACUCACUAAACAUAUAUUACAUUGGUGCGGAAUCCAUAGCACAUAGAAAAAACAUUAGACUAUUUAUGAGGGUGAACCUCAUGUGUACCUAGGUUCAGUAUCACUGGGCCCAUAAAGGACUAACAUAUAUAUAUAUAUAUAUAUAUAUAUAUAUGAUGAAAUUCAGUUCAUUCUGCAGAGUAUUUUUCAGUAGGGUUUGUGUUAGAGCAGACAGUGGACAGUGAUAUCACUGUAUGUACUUAGUGACUAAAUUAGUUUAGCGUAACCUGAAAAUGAGAUUAAGGCCUCAUCUACAUUUGUAACACUCAGAACUAAAUAUGGCACCCUACACUCCAAUAGGCUUUUACUGCACCUUAAUACACCUAAAAUCCGUGGCCUGCUUCAUCAGACACAUAAUUAUGGAGCUAAUCUCUUCUAGAAGCAUUUCUAGAGAAUUAUUAUGUAACAGCACUGUAUAGAGCACCAUACAGUGAUAUACAGCGUAAACUGGCUCUAUGGUACACAGCUACAGAGACUUUGUGUGCUUCCAUGGUGCCUACAUGCACAUGGCUCUUCUGAGGACUUCGUGCCUAAAAUGCAUAAAAUUACUUGAACAAUUGGAAAAAUCCAACAAUAUUGGUUCAUUUGUCAGUGUUCUGGGGGCAUGGUGUCUUCUGCAUGCAACCGUAUGAUUUGAUUCUAAAUCACAGGGGAUAAUUUACUAAAGACUGGCAUUUCACAUGCCAGUCUUAGUGAAAAGGCCAGAGAGAGGUCCCCUUGCCGUAGUGGAUGGGCACAAAUUAUUUUGAAAAUAUAUUCUUUUUGUCUAGUCAAUGAUGCAUUAGUUCAUGUAUUUUAUGGUGUCAGAGUAACAUGCAGCCAAAUUAUUAAAAUGAUUAAGAGGUGCAUGUGUGUUAAUAAACUUGUCUGUGAUGUCCAUGCUCCAUCUUUAGAUCCAAAAAGGAAGCAGUAUCCUUCUAAUGUGAGUCCUCCGGUAUGUAAUAAAUUAUAAUUUCUUAUAAUGACACAUGCCAGGUUUUCCAAAAUGUUUUACCACACUCAAAUUUAGUCCUCAUGCACACAAGUUGUAUGUGGCUACAAUAAUCAACUCAUAGACUUCUAAUGGGACCUACUGUACCUAUGUGAUUUCAUAAUGAGACAUAAAUACAGGAAAUAACUAAUGGGGUGCUCUAACAGAUGCCUAAUAAUGGAGUUGUUCUCCCCCCAAUCAUGCUAUACAGAUGUGUCUUUCCUUACCUUUCAGCUUCCCCAACAUAUCACAAAAUAUAUGGUGCAAGAAGACUGCUUUUUAAGAAAGAAAAAACUUGAUUUUACAAUACUACGUUCACUUCCGGUCACAUGACUGUCAUGCAAACGUCAGCAUUUACGUGCAUGUAUAUGGUAUGUCACUACUUCUGGUCCAGUGGGGACUGGAAGUGGAGGGUACAGGGGCCGGGGUGCUGGACUUUGUGUCAAGGUGUUUUUUUUUUUCUCUUUUUUUAAACAUUGUCCAGCACUUUGCUAAAUAUGUUUCCUGUGUAGGAGUGUAGGACAACCCAAUAACUUUCUUAUUCUCCAUGCACUGACUUCAAAGCACCAAAUAACCAAACCAAUAAUGCACCAGGUUCUGUUUAUUGUCCAUCCAGAGUUCUUAUAUUAGUUCAGUUGAAAGCAAAACUCAUCUACUAAUAUUUACUGUAACAGAAAGGGGGUGCAGAAAAAGACACCAUGGCUCAAGAACUGCAACAAUGACCUUUUUCACAUUUACUGUAUGUAAACUGUAUAUUUAGCUGUUGUUGAAUGAACAAAAUGUGGAUGUAUUUUCAGAUUUAUAUCAUGUCUCACUAUACCGCAUAAAACAUGGUAAGCACUUCCAUACAGUUUGGUAACAUUCAGAAACUCUUUAUUUUUGCUUGGGUGUGACCAAACGGCUGUAGAGUCCAGCAUUAGUGAUUACUGAUAAUUUCUUGUACAUGGAAUCUACCCUUCAAGUGGAAUAAGUGACAACAAACUACAGUGGAUAUUAUAUUUACCCACUUCAUUUUUUAUCAUGUUAUUGUUUUUCUUACACAGCUUUUACCCAUUAAUUAAACUUGUCAGACCAAUAUCCGUUUCUUCUGUCAGAAAAUGUCCUGCUUGAAUUACAGCAUAACUCUAAUUGUAGAGUAUAAACAAUGAGGUUUAGGAUUAUUAUGAGUAAUAGGAAUGUUUUAUUAGG